AACUAUUGAACCGUGGGAUUGGCCUAUGGAUUCAAUCACAAAAUAAGAAAAUAUUCUGUGAUCUGUGUUUCUACUUUCUUGGAAAUGUUGCUAACUUCGCAAUAGUUUUUAAUACUUGCUCGCUCUUGUCGUUUGCCAAAAUUAAAAAAUCCGUUAAUGUUUUUCUAUAGUUAUUAUGAAAAUUAAUGAUUAGUGAAGUCCAGUUUUUAACAUGUAAAAGAAAUCAUAAAAUAUCAAUUGAAAGGGUAAAAUAGAAUUAAGGCUAUACUGUUAUAUUUGUAUUGCAUUAAUGGGAUAUCCAGAUCCUUCACAGAUACACCGAACGGAAAGAUCAGGUUCUCGAAAUUAUUAUGACCCAAGUCUUAAGAUCAUGAUCAUAAGUGAUCUGUGAAGUUUUACCAAUAUUCUUUCGUAAUUCGUACACACCACUAUCUAUUUAUAUAUGUGGUAGUGACUAUCUUUAAAAUACUACCUUCCGCUAUUGCAUUUUCUGAAUCAGUUUGAUAUUGAGGGUUGAAGGGGAGCUGUUCAAUAAUUUUUUUUUGCAAAUAUCAAAGUAAGAAAAAAAAUUCAGUGCAAUGUGUGUUUAUAAGGAUAAAGUAAACAUUUUCUUUGUUCAGAUUACAUUGUAAGACUGACUAUUGGUUUUUUAUUUUGUGCCCGAGUUGUUGUAUUUUGUUAAAGUCAUACAAUAAAAUGUUAAAAAUAACGCUUUUCUUUUGUUAUUCUAACAAAUUUUUGAUAUUCUUAACAUCGAAAACCUUUUUUUAUAUGUGCGGCAUUGUGACAUGCGACAGUGUGUCCACUCAUGUAACUUUACGAGACGUGGCUACCAGAGGGUUAACAGCAUCUUUACCUAACUAACUGCUUCUUCCAGACGUUAAGGGUAUAGUGGGUAACUUCCCAGUGGAUUUGUUGACAAUGAAAUCUAUUUUAGGAUAGUUCAGUUGAUAAUUCCAUAAGGAAAAAUCUGGAUCUUUAAAUUCAUUUCCCUUGAUUAUAAAGAUCUGUAUUUCCCUUGAUUAUAAUAUCGCUGUUCAAAAGUUUAAACUCAAAAAAUUUCAUUUUUGUGUUUAUUUCAUUAACAAAAUGCAUUAUGCAUCACCUUUUUCCU
rnacentral:lncRNA from 1 species